GAUGAACGCUGGCGGCGUGCCUAAUACAUGCCAGUCGAGCGAACAGAUGAGGAGCUUGCUCCUCUGACGUUAGCGGCGGACGGGUGAGUAACACGUGGAUAACCUACCUAUAAGACUGGGAUAACUUCGGGAAACCGGAGCUAAUACCGGAUAAUAUAUUGAACCGCAUGGUUCAAUAGUGAAAGACGGUUUUGCUGUCACUUGUAGAUGGAUCCGCGCCGCAUUAGCUAGUUGGUAAGGUAAAGGCUUACCAAGGCAACGAUGCGUAGCCGACCUGAGAGGGUGAUCGGCCACACUGGAACUGAGACACGGUCCAGACUCCUACGGGAGGCAGCAGUAGGGAAUCUUCCGCAAUGGGCGAAAGCCUGACGGAGCAACGCCGCGUGAGUGAUGAAGGUCUUCGGAUCGUAAAACUCUGUUAUUAGGGAAGAACAAAUGUGUAAGUAACUAUGCACGUCUUGACGGUACCUAAUCAGAAAGCCACGGCUAACUACGUG
rnacentral:rRNA from 1 species